rnacentral:rRNA from 1 species
UACGUAGGUGGCAAGCGUUGUCCGGAUUUACUGGGUGUAAAGGGCGUGUAGCCGGGCCGGCAAGCCUGAUGUGAAAGCCCGCGGCCCAACCGCGGGACUGCAUUGGGAACUACCGGGCUGGAGUGCCGGAGAGGUAGGCGGAAUUCCUAGUGUAGCGGUGAAAUGCGUAGAUAUUAGGAGGAACACCAGUGGCGAAGGCGGCCUACUGGACGGUGACUGACGCUGAGGCUCGAAAGCGUGGGGAGCAAACAGG